rnacentral:rRNA from 1 species
CCCUUAGAUGUUCUGGGCCGCACGCGCGCUACAAUGAUGAAUUCAACGAGUUUAUAACCUUGGUUGAAAAGCCUGGGUAAUCUUUUGAACUUUCGUCGUGAUGGGGCUAGACCCUUGCAAUUAUUGGUCUCCAACGAGGAAUUCCUAGUAGGCGCGAGUCAACAACUCGCACCGAUUUCGUCCCUGCUCUUUGUACACACCGCCCGUCGCUCCUACCGAUGAAUGAAUCGGUGAGAAUUUGGGAGAGCUGAAGAGAGGAUUUGGGUUGGAAACGGCCUAGAUCUGAAACGUGUCGAGAGAUGCGGGAGCUACAAACUUGUUCAAACCUGUUCAUUUAGAGGAAGGAGGAGUCGUAACA